rnacentral:rRNA from 1 species
AUUGAACGCUGGCGGCAUGCUUUACACAUGCAAGUCGAACGGCGGCACGGGCUUCGGCCUGGUGGCGAGUGGCGAACGGGUGAGUAAUAUAUCGGAACGUACCCAGAAGUGGGGGAUAACGUAGCGAAAGUUACGCUAAUACCGCAUACGAUCUAUGGAUGAAAGCAGGGGACCGCAAGGCCUUGUGCUCCUGGAGCGGCCGAUAUCUGAUUAGCUAGUUGGUGAGGUAAAGGCUCACCAAGGCGACGAUCAGUAGCUGGUCUGAGAGGACGACCAGCCACACUGGAACUGAGACACGGUCCAGACUCCUACGGGGGGCAGCAGUGGGGAAUUUUGGACAAUGGGCGCAAGCCUGAUCCAGCAAUGCCGCGUGAGUGAAGAAGGCCUUCGGGUUGUAAAGCUCUUUUGUCAGGGAAGAAACGGUAGAGGCUAAUAUCCUUUGCUAAUGACGGUACCUGAAGAAUAAGCACCGGCUAACUACGUG